GAUGGAUGGAUGGAUGGAUGGACGGAUGUUCCGACAAAAACUGUGUUUCUAUUUCUUCCUUUAUUAAGUUCUAACAAAUAAACAAACAUUCAGGAGUUAAACAAAGUAAGGAGGAACAUCUGAGGUUGUCUCAGACUGUUGGGGAACAUCAGAGCUGGAGAUAAUCAUGAAAACCGCCCGGCAGUAUGGGAGCCCCUUUGUGCCAAAGAAUACAUUUUUAUAAUGCUUUAUGAGACCCUAAGCAGCAGUUUUAGGAUAAAUAUUAGUGUAAAUUUAAUAGCAAGUUCUUGGGUAAUUUUCUCGUUUUAUUUCAUUUUUUUUGGGCAUUAAUGUGCUCAGAAUGGCGUUUUGUUGGAUCCAUGACAGGAACGCUCAGAAUUAUUUUUUAAACAGGUUUUCAGUGUCAUUUUUAAAUUAAUAAAACCUAAUCUGAGUUCACCAGAAACACACAUAUUGGACAUAGGAAACACAUUGAGAUAAACAGAUUCUACGACUUUUACAAAAACAGUUUUUACAUGCAUGUAACAGGUGGAAAUAUCAUGAAUCCAAAGUUCAGCCGGCACCAGAACACACAUCAGAGACCAGGUUUGGGUCGUCAUACUGUCUGACGGUAUUCUGGGAAUCCAAAAGGUAAAAUUUUGAAAUUUCUGCUACAAUCUUUUAUGCUAAAGAUUU